rnacentral:rRNA from 1 species
GACGAACGCUGGCGGCGUGCUUAACACAUGCAAGUCGAACGGAAAGGCCCGUUUGGGGGUACUCGGGUGGCGAACGGGGGGGGAACACGUGCGUAAGCUGCGCUUAACUUCGGGAUAACGGUAGGAAACUGGGGCUAAUACCGGAGACGAAUCAUUUCUGGAUGGUGGGGGUUGGAAAGUUUCGGCGGUUUUGGCUGGGCUUGAGAGUUAUCAGCUUGCUGGUGGGGUAGUGGCUUACCGAGGCGAUGGCGCGUAGCCGGGCUGAGGGGGCGACCGGCCACAGUGAGACUGAGAUACGGCCCCGGCUCCUACUCGUGCGAGCAGUGGGGAAUAUUGAACGAGGGGCGGGAGCCUGAUGCAGCAACGCCGCGGGCGGGAUGACGGUCUUCGGGUUGUAGAACGCAUGCAGCAGGAGCGAAGCUUGUGGUGACGGUACCUGCAGAAGAAGCACCGGCUAACUACGUG